rnacentral:tRNA from 1 species
UCCUCGUUAGUAUAGUGGUAAGUGUCGCCGACUGUCACUCGGGAGACCAUGGUUCAUUACCCUGAUGGGGAG